AAUGCGCGGGGCCUAGUGAGGCCACUGGGAGGCAGGAGCGGGGCUCGGUGGAGCUACUGAAAGGCAACAGGAGCUCUGGCCUGGGGAGGCCGAAGUCAGGCAAGAGCUGGGCGUGGAGAGUCUGCUGGGAGGCAGAGGCUGCGCUUGUGCAGGCCUUCGGGAGGCAGGAGGCUGGGCCUGGCGAGGCCGACUGGAGGUCAAGUCCUGGGCCUGAGGAGGCCGCCAAGAGGAGGAGCUGGGCCUGGAGAGGCUGGCUGGAGGAAGUCUGGGGCGUGGAGACGCCAUCGGAGGGCAGGAUCCGGGCCACCGUGGGGCCCGACUUCAGGCCGUUUGGGGCCUACAAAGGCCGCGGAGCGGGAGCUGGGCCGGAGCCAAGUCCAAAGAGGUUGUCGUGAGGCCGGGGCUGGGCUCGCGGCCGCAGCCGUGAGCAGGAGAAACAGGGCCUGGACGGGAGGCCGGGAGGCCGCAACAGGGCCUCGAGAGGCCGGCCUGAGGAAGUUCGGGGCCUGGAGAGACCGCCAAAAGGCAAAGGCUGGGCCUGGAAAGGCCGUUCACCGUGACGAAUGCCUGGGGCCUAGUGAGGCCACUGGGAGGCAGGAGCGGGGUCCGGCGGAGCUGCGGAAAGGCAGGAGGAGCUCUGGCCUGGGGAGGCCGCACUCAGGCGAGAGCUGGGCGUGGAGAGUCCGCUGGGAGGCAGAGGCUGGGCCUGUGCAGGCCUUCGGGAGGCAGGAGGCUGGGUCUGGCGAGGCCGACUGGAGAUCAAGUCCUGGGCCUGAGGAGGCCGCCCAGAGGCGUGAGCGGUGCUGGGCCUCAAGAGGCCAGUGGCAGGCAGGAGGAGCUGGGCCUGGAGAGGCUGAACUGAGGAAGAUUGGGAGCUUUAGAGGCCGCGGAGAGGCAGGAGCUCGGCUGACGGAGGCCGACUGGGUGACGAGUUGGGCCAGUAGGGGCCGCCGGGAGCAGGAGUGAGCCCUGGAGAGGCCGACUCGAGGCCAGCGUGCACCUGCAGAGGUCGCCGGGAGGAGGAGCUGGGCCUGGAGAGGCUGGCUGGAGGAAGUCUGGUGCGUGGAGACGACGAAGGACGGCAGGAGCCGAGCCCGGAGAGGCCACCGUGGGGCCCGGCUUCAGGACAUUUGGGGCCUACAAAGGCCGCACAGCGGGAGCUGGGCCGGAGUCGAGUCCAAAGAGGUUGUCGUGAGGCCGGGGCCGGGCUCGCGGCCUAAGCCAAGAGCAGGAGAAGCUGGGCCUGGACGGGAGGCCGGGAGGCCGCAACGGGGCCUGCAGAGUCCGGCCUGAGGAAGUUCGGGGCCUGGAGAAGCCGCCAAAAGGCAAAGGCUGGGCCUGGAAAGGCCGUUUCCCGUGACAAAUGCGCGGGGCCCACUGAGGCCACUGGGAGACAGGA
rnacentral:lncRNA from 1 species